GGGGGGGAUUCAUGAACAAAGAUGGGGAGGCAGGUUGUUGAGUGGGCGAAGAUAUCGCCUUUUUAUUGAUGAAAAUGGAGAUGGAAGAAAUCUAGCAGGUAACUGGUAUAACAUCUUCAGUUGUGAGUUCAAAUUUUCGACUACUGACUCUACACUUUCCCACAAACUGUUGUAGCUCAUGCAGGUAAUAAAGUAUAUAUGGUCUCCCAAUCCAAACUGAGCGCAUUGUGAGAAAUUCAUUUGACAUAUAUGAUUGUCAGAGAGGUCUCCCCAGUAAAUAUGAUUCUUUCGUCCAGGCAUCUCCAAUUAAAAACAGGGCCUCAAACCAUAUACUGUUAUCAGUACGCUCAGAAAAUCCCAAUCAGAAUCCCUAUCCGCAAAAAUUGGAUAUCUGUUCAACCGGACAAACCAGAUAGUAAACACAGAUUUGGACGAAGGAAGAGCAUCAUGAUACAUAUUUGAAGUGUCAAAUGCAUAAAAAUUUAAAAACAAAAUUAUCCUGCUUCAAGAACAUCACCACCUAAUUCUAUUGAUAAAUCCUUUGA